GACGAACGCUGGCGGCGUGCUUAACACAUGCAAGUCGAACGGAAAGGCCCUGCUUUUGUGGGGUGCUCGAGUGGCGAACGGGUGAGUAACACGUGAGUAACCUGCCCUUGACUUUGGGAUAACUUCAGGAAACUGGGGCUAAUACCGGAUAGGAGCUCCUGCUGCAUGGUGGGGGUUGGAAAGUUUCGGCGGUUGGGGAUGGACUCGCGGCUUAUCAGCUUGUUGGUGGGGUAGUGGCUUACCAAGGCUUUGACGGGUAGCCGGCCUGAGAGGGUGACCGGCCACAUUAGGACUGAGAUACGGCACAGACGCCUACGGGAGGCAGCAGUGGGGAAUAUUGCGCAAUGGGCGGAAGCCUGAUGCAGCAACGCCGCGUGCGGGAUGACGGCCUUCGGGUUGUAAACCGCUUUCGCAUGUGACGAAGCGUGAGUGACGGUAAUGGGUAAAGAAGCACCGGCUAACUACGUG
rnacentral:rRNA from 1 species